rnacentral:rRNA from 1 species
CCUACGGGUGGCUGCAGUGGGGAAUAUUGCGCAAUGGGGGCAACCCUGACGCAGCAACGCCGCGUGAUUGAAGAAGGCCUUCGGAUUGUAAAACUCUUUAAGUGGGGACGAAGAAAGUGACUGUACCCACAGAAUAAGCCUCGGCUAACUACGUGCCAGCAGCCGCGGUAAUACGUAGGAGGCAAGGGUUAUCCGGAAUGACUGGGCGUAAAGGGGGAGUAGGUGGUUUGACAAGUUAGUAGCGUAAUUCCGGGGCUCAACUUCGGAACUACUACUAAAACUGUUGGGCUUUAGUGCAGAAGAGGUGAAUGGAAUUCCUAGUGUAGCGGUGGAAUGCGUAGAUAUUAGGAGGAACACCAGCGGCGAAAGCGAUUCACUGGACUGUAACUGACACUGAGGCACGAAAGCGUGGGGAGCAAACAGGAGUAGAUACCCAGUAGUC